UACGGAGGGUGCAAGCGUUACCCGGAAUCACUGGGCGUAAAGAGCUUGUAGGCGGUUUGUCGCGUCUGCUGUGAAAAUCCGGGGCUCAACCCCGGACUUGCAGUGGGUACGGGCAGACUAGAGUGUGGUAGGGGAGACUGGAAUUCCUGGUGUAGCGGUGAAAUGCGCAGAUAUCAGGAGGAACACCAAUGGCGAAGGCAGAUCUCUGGGCCGAUACUGACGCUGAGGAGCGAAAGCGUGGGGAGCGAACAGG
rnacentral:rRNA from 1 species